rnacentral:lncRNA from 1 species
ACACCAGAGAGAUGAAAAGCUGAAAUCCAGCUGCCGUUCAUUCCUGCUUUGAGAUUAGGAAAGGUAGAGCUGAAUUUGGGCUAUGUUACUCAGAAGCUUUUCCCCAGCUGAUGGAGGCCUGCCCUGGAGGUGCUCAGCUCCAUCUCUGCUGUCCAGGCUGUGAGCAAGAACACCUAAGGAAAGCCAGCAGCCUCCUUCACUCUCCCUCCCCAUCCAUUCAGGUGCGGAUGGCACUGAGAUUGCUCUCAUCUUCUGGGCUUAUAAGCAAAUAUAUUUAAUUUGGAUGUAAUACAGCCAGGAGGGUGAUUUCUCCAGAUGGCGAUUUAAGCAACAGAUCAAGAGAUGAAUUAAGCACCUCAUUCCUUCAGAUUUUAGGAGAUCUGCAGGUGCCAGGGAUCCUGCCUCCAGCUUGGGUCCAGGGUAAAUUUCGGCCAAGAUGAAGCCUCUUAUUGGCUGCAUGAAUUCUAGCCUCCUUCAUUAACAUGGAAAGAUGAUUUGCGGACAGAUUAAGGACUUCAGAAGGAGAGAUGACACCAGACCUAGGUCUUGCAGAUGCAAACUCCUGUCAAGUGUGAGAGGAGGGGGAGUAUUAUCCACCAGUGGCAGAUAGGCUGGGCAUCUGGGCAGAAUGAUAAGAGCUGUGGCCCUGCAGCCAGUCCCUGCAUUUGCACCCUGAGUUUGCCAUGAGCUGUGUGACCUUAGUCAAGUUUCUCAACCUCUCUGUGCCUCAGCUUCCUUCUCUGAAAAAUGGGGAUCGUGUUUUGCACACAGCCCGACACACAGCAAAUAUUCAGUUUUUAUGCUUUAAUUUCCUAACUGUUCCUGCAUUACUUCACAGUUGAUGACGUGUGGGGCCAAGCUCUUGGCACACGUGAGCACAGUGGAUAUUCAAGGAGCGUUAACUUGAAAUGAUAUUCAUAUUUUCUAAGGUCAGCAGGGCACAGCACACCCAGGAAGCAUCUGAUACUUUGGAAGAAAUCUGGUUUGAUGAUUAUUAGAAUUGCAAGAGUAGCUGUCUUUUAGUCUAGACCUACAAUCUGCUCACAUUGGUGAAGUGAAAGCACCUGCAGGAUUGAAUUUACCCAGUAGGUUAGGACCCUGCAUGCUCACGGAACCGCCCUACCCAUCCUGCCUCCCCACCUGGCUCUGCCUCCUAAAUGGAUAGAUACAUGCUGUUCUAAAGUUGGCCAAGCUCUAUAGUCUCCUUGGGAAAAUAACAACCUUAGAACAUGGGACAGCCCUGUACUCACAAAUUGAUGUCAUAGCCUAAGACAACCAAGGCAUUCCUUUGCAACAAGCAGGCAUUCAUUAUCUAUAAUUCCUAUUUUAUAACUUUUUUGUUUGAUCUAUCCCAGAAUUCAUUCUGAAGAAAUUCAACAGAAUAAAUGAUCAUUUUCCCUGAC